UGCGUAGGCGGGGCAAUUAGUCAGUGGUGAAAUCCUGCGGCUUAACCGUAGAAUUGCCAUUGAUACUGUUGCCCUUGAGUAUAGUUGAAGUGGGCGGAAUAUGUAAUGUAGCGGUGAAAUGCAUAGAGAUUACAUAGAACACCAAUUGCGAAGGCAGCUCACUAAGCUAUCACUGACGCUGAGGCACGAAAGCGUGGGGAGCGAACAGGAUUAGAUACCCUGUAGUCC
rnacentral:rRNA from 1 species